GUCGAACGGUGAACACGGAGCUUGCUCUGUGGGAUCAGUGGCGAACGGGUGAGUAACACGUGAGCAACCUGCCCCUGACUCUGGGAUAAGCGCUGGAAACGGCGUCUAAUACUGGAUACGAGUAGCGACCGCAUGGUCAGUUACUGGAAAGAUUUAUUGGUUGGGGAUGGGCUCGCGGCCUAUCAGCUUGUUGGUGAGGUAAUGGCUCACCAAGGCGUCGACGGGUAGCCGGCCUGAGAGGGUGACCGGCCACACUGGGACUGAGACACGGCCCAGACUCCUACGGGAGGCAGCAGUGGGGAAUAUUGCACAAUGGGCGCAAGCCUGAUGCAGCAACGCCGCGUGAGGGAUGACGGCCUUCGGGUUGUAAACCUCUUUUAGCAGGGAAGAAGCGAAAGUGACGGUACCUGCAGAAAAAGCGCCGGCUAACUACGUGCCAGCAGCCGCGGUAAUACGUAGGGCGCAAGCGUUAUCCGGAAUUAUUGGGCGUAAAGAGCUCGUAGGCGGUUUGUCGCGUCUGCUGUGAAAUCCGGAGGCUCAACCUCCGGCCUGCAGUGGGUACGGGCAGACUAGAGUGCGGUAGGGGAGAUUGGAAUUCCUGGUGUAGCGGUGGAAUGCGCAGAUAUCAGGAGGAACACCGAUGGCGAAGGCAGAUCUCUGGGCCGUAACUGACGCUGAGGAGCGAAAGGGUGGGGAGCAAACAGGCUUAGAUACCCUGGUAGUCCACCCCGUAAACGUUGGGGACUAGUUGUGGGGUCCAUUCCACGGAUUCCGUGAC
rnacentral:rRNA from 1 species